UCCCUCUGCCCCAGGAGGGCGUGGCUGCAUUCUUCGUGUUCACCUCUGUGUUCCUGGAGCAGAGGCCGUCCCAGCACACAGCCGGCGCUCAGUGCAUACCGCGGGCUCAGCACGGGCCUGGAGAAAUCUUCACUAAACCCUUAUAAACCCCUAAGAGGAAGGCAGCUCCUCGCCAUUUCCGCAGCAGGGCUGAGAGAUGGGAGGACUUGCCGGAGGCCACACAGCUGGUGACCAGGCCCAGGAGCUCCAGACCCCAAGCCUUAACCACUGCACCCUCCUCCCUCAGGGAGCCCAGACGGGCCACCCUGGGCCCCCUGCACUGCACAGGGCCCUGUCCCCGUCCCGGAAGCCUCACCGGCCAUCCACGGCGUCCACCACCCGCCCAGAGAUCUCCAUCUCCCAGAGUGAAGUCAGCAUGCG